rnacentral:tRNA from 1 species
GGGGCCGUAGCUCAGUGGUUAGAGCAGGGGACUCAUAAUCCCUCGGUCGAAGGUUCGAUCCCUUCCGGCCCCAC